GAUUUUAUCUUGCGUACAUAUGAUGUUUUGUGCGUGCGUAUAUAUGUGGCUAGAGGUGUAAUUAUUGAACUGCCAAAAAAAGAAAGUUAGCUAAUUCUUUUGUAUGUACCUAUGAACGCCAGGUGCAAUUAAGAGAAUAAUUAUCUUUGUGUUAUGAAAUCUGCUGGCGCAUUUUGGUUGAUCAUUAUUUUAAUUUUCUUACUCUAUGUCUCUCUAAGAUUUGAAUCAAGAUCUUGUUGCAAUACAUUAACACUAUUAAUUUUGUUGAAAUCCGUUGAUGCAUUUUGG
rnacentral:lncRNA from 1 species